AUUGAACGCUGGCGGCAUGCCUUACACAUGCAAGUCGAACGGUAACGGGCCUUCGGGUGUCGACGAGUGGCGUACGGGUGAGUAAUACAUCGGAACGUUCUCGAUCGCGGGGGAUAACGAGGCGAAAGCUUUGCUAAUACCGCAUACUAUCUAAGUAUGAAAGCAGGGGAGCGCAAUGGCUGUCGCGGCCGGAGCGGCCGAUGGCAGACUAGGAAGUUGGUGGGCUAAAAGUAUACCAAGCCGACGAUCUGUAGCUGGUCUGAGGGGAUGAUCAGCCACACUGGAGCUGAGGAGCGGCCCCGACUCCUACGGGGGGCAGCAGUGGAGAAUUUUGGACAAUGGACGCAAGCCUGAUACAGCCAUGCCGCGUGCAGGAUGAAGGCCUUCGGGUUGUAAACUGCUUUUGUACGGAACGAAAAGACUUCUUUUAAUACAGGAGGGUCAUGACGGUACCGUAAGAAUAAGCACCGGCUAACUACGUG
rnacentral:rRNA from 1 species